ACCACAACAGGUGGAGCCUGCGGUUUAAUCGGACUCAACGCCGGGAAACUCACCAGAUAAGACAGCUGAAUGAUAGCCGGGCUGAAGACUCUGCUUGACUAGCUGAGAGGAGGUGCAUGGCCGUCGUCAGUUCGUACUGUGAAGCAUCCUGUUAAGUCAGGCAACGAGCGAGACCCACGCCAACAGUUGCCAGCAUGUCCUCCGGGAUGAUGGGGACACUGUUGGGACCGCCUCUGCUAAAGAGGAGGAAGGAAUGGGCAACGGUAGGUCAGCAUGCCCCGAAUUAUCCGGGCUACACGCGGGCUACAAUGGUCAGGACAAUGGGUAUCGACACCGAGAGGUGGAGGCAAUCUCCUAAACCUGUCCUUAGUUCGGAUUGUGGGCUGCAACUCGCCCACAUGAAGCUGGAAUCCGUAGUAAUCGCGUUUCAAAAUAGCGCGGUGAAUAUGUCCCUGCUCCUU
rnacentral:rRNA from 1 species